AACGAACGCUGGCGGCGUGCCUUACACAUGCAAGUCGAACGAGAAAGCCCUUCGGGGCAAGUACAGUGGCGGACGGGUGAGUAACGCGUGGGUAAUCUACCCCUGGGCGGGGGAUAACACUUCGAAAGAGGUGCUAAUACCGCAUAAGACCACGACCCUUCGGGGGCGUGGGAAAAGGUGGGGAUCUUCGGACCUGUCACCUAGGGAUGAGCCCGCGUACCAUUAGGUUGUUGGUGGGGUAAAGGCCUACCAAGCCAUAGAUGGUUAGCUGGUCUGAGAGGAUGAUCAGCCACACUGGGACUGAGACACGGCCCAGACUCCUACGGGAGGCAGCAGUGGGGAAUAUUGGACAAUGGGCGAAAGCCUGAUCCAGCAAUGCCGCGUGAGUGAUGAAGGCCUUAGGGUUGUAAAGCUCUUUUACCAGGGAUGAUAAUGACAGUACCUGGAGAAUAAGCUCCGGCUAACUCCGUG
rnacentral:rRNA from 1 species